rnacentral:rRNA from 1 species
UACGUAGGGUGCGAGCGUUGUCCGGAAUUAUUGGGCGUAAAGGGCUCGUAGGCGGUUUGUCGCGUCGGGAGUGAAAAUCCAGAGCUUAACUCUGGACUGGCUUCCGAUACGGGCAGACUAGAGGUAUGCAGGGGAGAACGGAAUUCCUGGUGUAGCGGUGAAAUGCGCAGAUAUCAGGAGGAACACCGGUGGCGAAGGCGGUUCUCUGGGCAUUACCUGACGCUGAGGAGCGAAAGUGUGGGGAGCGAACAGG